rnacentral:tRNA from 1 species
UACCGAGAGGAAGGGGAGGAUAUGGGAUUUUCACUCCCAAGAUCGGGGUUCGAUUCCCCGCGUGGAAG